GUCCUAGCCGUAAACUAUGAGCACUGAAUUGAAGGGUCCCACAUAACCCUUCAGUUGUAGCGAAAGUGUUAAGUGCUCCGCCUGGGGAGUAUGGUCGCAAGGCUGAAACUCAAAGAAAUUGACGGGGCUCACACAAGCGGUGGAGGAUGUGGCUUAAUUCGAGGCUACGCGAAGAACCUUAUCCUAGUCUUGACAUGCACGGAUUAACUCCUGGAAACAGGAGCCAGGCCUUCGGGUACAACGUGCACAGGUGCUGCAUGGCUGUCGU
rnacentral:rRNA from 1 species